AAGUAAUGAAGUAAAAAUUACAAUUAGUUUCGACCUAAAAUUAGGGAUACUCCAAUCCCCUUACUUA
rnacentral:tRNA from 1 species